rnacentral:rRNA from 1 species
GACGAACGCUGGCGGCGUGCUUAACACAUGCAAGUCGAACGAUGAAGCCGGAGCUUGCUCUGGUGAAUUAGUGGCGAACGGGUGAGUAACACGUGAGUAACCUGCCCUUGACUCUGGGAUAACUGCGGGAAACUGUAGCUAAUACCGGAUACGACCCUCGGAGGCAUCUCCUGGGGGUGGAAAGAAUUUCGGUCAAGGAUGGACUCGCGGCCUAUCAGCUAGUUGGGGAGGUAAAGGCUCACCAAGGCGACGACGGGUAGCCGGCCUGAGAGGGUGACCGGCCACACUGGGACUGAGACACGGCCCAGACUCCUACGGGAGGCAGCAGUGGGAAUAUUGCACAAUGGGCGCAAGCCUGAUGCAGCAACGCCGCGUGAGGGAUGACGGCCUUCGGGUUGUAAACCUCUUUCAGCAUCGACGAAGCGAAAGUGACGGUAGGUGCAGAAGAAGGACCGGCUAACUACGUGCCAGCCGCCGCAGUAA